GAGUGGUUUAUUUUUUAACCAAACAAUUGGAAAUAAUUGGCAGAAGGAGUUGAUUGGAAUGGAGAAAGAUCACCCACCAUCAACCUCACAGUUACAAUGCUGUGCCAGCACCCCUUGCAACAGCCUCAGUGUCCCUCAGGGGUUUUGCGGAACCUGGUUCAUCUUACCACUGACCUCUGUGUUCACAAGGACCAAAGGACUCCAAGUUGACCACACUGAUAAUGACAGAGGAAGAAAGAGGUGGAGCAAGCGUGCUUGCGCUAUGGCUAUCAGUGUCAAUGAAUUUGACUUGUGUUCAGUGACUAAUUG
rnacentral:lncRNA from 1 species